GAGUUUGAUUAUGGCUCAGGAUGAACGCUGGCGGCGUGCUUAACACAUGCAAGUCGAACGGGCGAAUUAUAUCGGAGGUCUUCGGGCCGAAGAGAUAAUAAGCUAGUGGCGGACGGGUGCGUAACGUGUGGGUAAUCUGCCUUUGUCAUAGGAAUAACUGCUUGAAAAAGUAGCUAAUACCAAAUAACAUAUCGUAUAGGCAUCUAUAAGAUAUCAAAGAGAAAUCGGACAAAGAUGAGCCCGCAUCUGAUUAGCUGGUUGGUAGGGUAAAAGCCUACCAAGGCGACGAUCAGUAGCCGGCCUGAGAGGGUGAACGGCCACAUUGGAACUGAGACACGGUCCAAACUCCUACGGGAGGCAGCAGUGGGGAAUAUUGCACAAUGGGGGGAACCCUGAUGCAGCAACCGCCGCGUGAGUGAAGAAGGCUUUCGAGUCGUAAAACUUCUGUUGUAAGGGAAGAUAAUGACCNGUNC
rnacentral:rRNA from 1 species